AAACCAGAAGAGAAGAGAAACCAAGGAAGAACAAACCCUAGGUGGGAAAAAUCAAAGAGAAAGUGUUGGAAUUCAAGGAUUUGAUCAAGCAAAGGUAAAAUUUCUUUGAUUUUGCUAGUGAUUUACCUUACCCGUGCAUUUCUCCUUAUUUGCCAUGGUUAAAUUACAUGUUUUCAUGAUGAAUUCAUGGCUGGUCAAAAUGGGUAAGGAGAGAGAAAGAUGUUGGAUUGAUUUGAUUUUAAGAUAUGUUAGUGUUUUUAGUUAGUUUAGCAUAUUUAAAAGCAAAACAACAAGAAAGGAAUCCAUUUUUCCCAUGAAUCUUCAUGGCCAAAUCUUCCUUGAUGUGUGUGGGUGAUGGAUUGUUAUUAUUUCAAGAGAAAUGGCUUAGAUAAUGAUGAAUAAUGGUGAGAAAAUUAAGUAGGAAAAAGCACGGUGUUAGUGCACUGUAAUGGUCGAAUUUUUCCAUGAAGAAAUGGGAAACUUUUGAUGCUGAAAUUGGUGUUAUUUGAAUAAUGUUUGGUGAAUUGAGGUAUUAGAAAUGAAAUGGAGCAAUUUGGAGCCAAAUCGGACACAAUUGUCAUUUAAUCGGGUAAUAGGCCGAAUUAGGUCAGCACCGCAUUUAAGAGAUAGUCAGAUAAGUUGCAUAUCAUAUCAUGCAUAUUGUAAAACCUGACCCUAUAAACACAUGUCAUGACAUACAUGUACUGAGUAGCAUGUUAUUACGCUAGGAAAGUCCCUAAAAUAGACGAAACUCGAUAUUGUACCUAACGGUACACUUGAGUUGAUUUAACCUCGAACUAGUUCAAAUAGGAAUCGUAGGAUGAAAUUUAAUAUUUUACAGUCCAGGAAUGACUAAAAAUGAUUGUUCGGAGUUCGAGGGUUCAUUUGGGAAAAAAUUAAAAAUUUUGAUGUUCAGGGGUAAAAUCGUCAUUUUGCCACUUAAGAUAAUAAUUUGAUCAUGGAGUGAAAUUUUUGACCAAGAUUAACUAUUUGGAGUAUAAUUUAAUGAUAGAAAAUGAAAACAUUUCAAUUUCGGUAAUUUUCGAAACAUAGGGGCAAAACGGUAAUUUUAUCGCCUCGGGGUAAAAAAUCGUAAUUUUCACCACCCAAAACUUGUCAAAAUCAUAGGAUUUACUUAUUUUUGGUAUGAAUAACUAUGGUAUGUUAAGUGGUGAAAUUGAAGUUUAAAGGACGAAAUUUUAAAAACCGACCAAUGAGAAAGUGACACAUGGCACUUUUUAAUUGUUUAAUAUUAUUUUAAAGGAAAAUCAGCCCAUUUAAACCCCACAUCAGGUGAUGGCCGGCUAUAAGGAGAGAACAAGAGAGAAAAUAGAGAGGAAAGGAAGAAAAGAGAAAAACCAAAGGAAAACUAGAAAAUUCAAAGGGGAAAUCGCGUUUUUUGUCCGUUUACGCGUCUAACGGUAAGAUUUUUUGACUUUAGCUUGAUUUCUAACUUUCUUAUGCCUUUGUUUCCAUUUAGCAUGCUUGAGGAGAGAGAUCAAGAAGUGAUACCAAGGGCUGGCCGAAUUUCAAGGGGGAGAAAUUUGAAAUUCUUAUGUUUUGAUUUUUAGUUAAAUUGAUAGUUUUAGUUAGUUAAAUGUGUAUAGAAAUCAAAUUGGGC
rnacentral:lncRNA from 1 species